AGAAAUAUAAUUCAGGCAAUAUUUCCAAAGGAUGUGCAAGUGCGCAAAGACACAAAGUUCACGUGAUCCACCACCACACAUCACACAUCAGGACACACCCAAAUCUCGUGCCCUUGAUCUACCCAAGUCCACGCUCUCAGCACGUGCGAUACGUGCCACAACUCACGCCCAAACCGUGAGACGCACACGUGUUCCGCAUGGUUUCACUCGCUCACCUCACACACAUAGUGCACCCCCACACGCCUCGUUCGUGGCAGCAAAUUCCCCCAAACACGCUCGCACCGCGCACGCGUGGCAAUCCCCCGAGCGUGAGCGCCCCCUCCUCGCAUGCUCGCACGCUUCUCCUUCCCCAUCCCUCUCCCGCCCGACCCGAGUCGCCCGUCUCCGACCCCCUCCCUCCGUCUUCCCCUUCGGAGCCCCGCCCUACUCCUCGUGAGACGACGCCGUACUAUUUAUUUCCGGCCGCCGGAAAAUUCGGGCACGGAUUCCGGUGAAGCAGCUAGGGCUUCUGAAAGGGGGAAUAGAAGAUGGAUCGGGUGGAAAAUGGGAGUGGGAGCUCUGAGUGAGGGCGAUGAGGUGGAAUUCGAGGAGAAAAUGGAUAAUUCCGGCCAAGGUGGAGUCAAUUGCUAGAAUUCGGCAGUUCCAGCUGGUUUUAGGAGGUUUUGAUUGGUGUUGCAUGGUACGAAAUUCAACCACAAGGGGAAAGCUACAGAUCGCUGAAAUUAAUGUUGCUUCUCGUUUUAAUAAAUUACUGCUGUCAAAAGUGUAAAUUAUGAAGCUUAUGACGACCAAUAAAAUGGCAUAAGGAAUUGAUAUGUCCUUGCUUGAUUAGGGUUUCUCUCUCUUGAAAAACAUAAAUUCGGUUGCAUGAUAUGUCGUGGUUCUUGUCAAAAUUUAAUACAUAUACAAUUACAGAGAGGGAAUUCGUACUCGAGCGUAGAGAAAAAAAAAAAUAGCGGCAAGUUGAAUUUUUCAUAUUCUUAAGCUUUGCAAACUUGGACAUACCCCAAUUCGACUCUCUUGUAGUUUAGUUUAGAUUACACUAGAUAAUAAGCCCGCACGUUGUGGCGGGAACCAACUGUCAUGAAUGUACAGAGGGACACAUGAGUGAAUGAGGUCAAUAAGAAAAGCAGCUUGACUUUUAUAUACAUUCAA